GUAGGUGAACCUGCGGAAGGAUCAUUAACGUGGGGCUUCGGCCCCGCCGAGAUAGAACCCUUGCCUUUUGUAUACCGUCCGUUUCCUCGGCAGGCUCGCCUGCCAAUGGGGACCAUAAUAAACCUUUGUAAUAACCUGUAACUGUCUGAUCAAAAAAUUAAAUUUAAAACUUUUAACAACGGAUCUCUUGGUUCUG
rnacentral:misc_RNA from 1 species